CAGGAGGAAUACGGGAGGAAGACAAUUAUUUGCAGAGGUGUCAGGUUUGCUAAUCCUGUCCCCAGUGAGCAAGAUACCUUUGCAAGGGGAUUUGAUGCAGAUGAUCAUCAUGGCUUGGAGAAACAAUGAAGGAAGCAAAGUAUGCCAUCUAUGCUGCGGGAGGUAACUCCAGAAGACCCCAGAGAGUGAAUAGGGAGGGAAGGUUUAAAAGAAUCUACUCAGAACUGAAGGAGCCAAGACUCUGUGGGUGCAUUUGAAACAACCUGGCAUUUUUGGGAAACUGCCAGGAGUUCCACAAGGCUGAAGAGCAGCCUGAGAAGGGAGAAGGAACGAGUUUGGACUUUUAACUGAGGGCCAUUGGAAACUACUGAAGAGUUUUAGGCAGCAUAAGAACUACUAGAUUUUCAUUGUGGGAGGAUCCUCAGCAGCAGCCUCAGAAAGGAGAUUGGGGAAGGAGAUCCCUAGUCAGGGAGACCAAGAAGACUACUGGAAAAAAACAGGGGAAUCCUCAAGGACCUGCAAACAAGAAACCAAAUCCCCCCACUCCCCCCAGCCAAAAUGUGUUCAUUUUGACCAGCUGUGUGUGUGUUUUAAAUUAAAAGUUUGAAUUAGAAAGCAAGUAGGAUAAAUUUAUAUACUUAGAUGUAUAAAUUUAAAUACCUGGCC
rnacentral:lncRNA from 1 species